rnacentral:rRNA from 1 species
UAGUGGCAGACGGGUGAGUAGUGCAUAGGAAUCUACCUAGUAGUAUGGGAUAGCCACUAGAAAUGGUGGGUAAUACUGUAUAAUCCCCGCGGGGGAAAGAUUUAUCGCUAUUAGAUGAGCCUAUGUCAGAUUAGCUAGUUGGUGGGGUAAUGGCCUACCAAGGCGGUGAUCUGUAGCUGGUCUGAGAGGAUGAUCAGCCACACUGGAACCGAGACACGGUCCAGACUCCUACGGGAGGCAGCAGUGGGGAAUAUUGGACAAUGGGCGCAAGCCUGAUCCAGCUAUGCCGCGUGAGUGAGGAAGGCCUUAGGGUUGUAAAACUCUUUCAGUAGGGAAGAUAAUG